rnacentral:tRNA from 1 species
GGCACUGUAGCUCAGUGGCAGAGUACUUGCCUAGCAUGCAGGAGGCGCUGGGUUUUAUCCUCAGUACCA